rnacentral:rRNA from 1 species
GAUGAACGCUGGCGGCGUGCCUAACACAUGCAAGUCGAGCGAACAGACGAGGAGUUUUCUCGUCUGACGUUGGCGGCGGACGGGUGAUUAACACGUGUAUAACCUACCUAUAAGACUGGGGUAACUUCGCGAAACCGGAUCUAAUACCCGAUAACAUGUUGAACCUCAUGGUUCAACAGUGAAAGACGGUCUUGCUGACACUAAUAGAUGGAUCCGCGUCGCAUUAGCUAGUUGGUAAGGUAACGGCUUACCAAGGCUACGAUGCGUAGCCGACCUGAGAGGGUGAUCAGCCACACUGGAACUGAGACACGGUCCAGACUCCUACGGGAGGCAGCAGUAGGGAAUCUUCCGCAAUGGGCGAAAGCCUGAUGGAGCAACGCCGCGUGAGUGAAGAAGGUCUUCGGAUCGUAAAGCUCUGUUAGUAGGGAAGAAGAAAAGUGUAAGUAACCAUGCACGUCUUGACGGUACCUAAACAAAAAGCAACGGCUAACUACGUG